AAUCAACGCUGGCGGCGUGCCUCAGACAUGCAAGUCGAACGCGAAAGGCCCCUUCGGGGGCCCGGUAGAGUGGCGCACGGGUGAGUAACACGUAGGUAAUUUGCCUUCGGGUGGGGAAUAACAGCCGGAAACGGCUGCUAAUACCGCAUAAUGCAGCGGCUCGACAUCGAGACAGUUGUUAAAGCGGGGGAUCGCAAGACCUCGCGCCUGAAGAGAAGCCUGCGGCAGAUAGCUUGUUGGUGAGGUAAUGGCUCACCAAGGCGACGAUCUGUAACCGGCCUGAGAGGGCGGUCAGUCACACUGACACUGACAUACGGGUCAGACUCCUACGGGAGGCAGCAGUCGGGAAUUUUGGGCAAUGGGCGAAAGCCUGACCCAGCAACGCCGCGUGAAGGAUGAAAUCUCUCGGGA
rnacentral:rRNA from 1 species